rnacentral:rRNA from 1 species
UUGAUCCUGGCUCAGAAUCAACGCUGGCGGCGCGCUUAACACAUGCAAGUCGAACGAGAAAGUGGAGCAAUCCAUGAGUAAAGUGGCGUACUGGUGAGUUACACGUGGGUAAUCUACCUCUGGGUGGGGAAUAACUCUGGGAAACCGGAUCUAAUACCGCAUAAGCCUGUAAAGGGAAAGGCGGAAGUCGCCGAGAGAGUAGCCCGCGGCUGAUUAGCUAGUUGGUGGGGUAAGAGCUCACCAAGGCUGUGAUCGGUAGCCGGCCUGAGAGGGCACACGGCCACACUGGCACUGAAACAUGGGCCAGACUCCUACGGGAGGCAGCAGUGGGGAAUCUUGCACAAUGGGGUAAACCCUGAUGCAGCGACGCCGCGUGAGCGAUGAAGCCCUUCGGGGUGUUAAGCUCUUUCGGCAGGGACGAUAAUGACGGUACCUGCAGAAGAAGCUGCUGCUAACUACGUGCCAGCAGCCGCGGUAAUU